rnacentral:rRNA from 1 species
UACGAACUGUGCAAACGUUAUUCGGAAUCACUGGGCUUAAAGGGUUCGUAGGCGGCCUGCUAAGUCGGGUGUGAAAUCCCUCGGCUCAACCGAGGAAUUGCGCCCGAUACUGUCAGGCUUGAGUGAGAUAGAGGAGAGCGGAACUCACGGUGGAGCGGUGAAAUGCGUUGAUAUUGUGAGGAACACCGGUGGCGAAAGCGGCUCUCUGGGUCUUUGCUGACGCUGAAGAACGAAAGCUAGGGGAGCGAACGGG